rnacentral:rRNA from 1 species
CCUACGGGUGGCAGCAGUGGGGAAUAUUGGACAAUGGGCGAAAGCCUGAUCCAGCCAUGCCGCGUGUGUGAAGAAGGCCUUCGGGUUGUAAAGCACUUUCAGUGGGGAAGAAAGCCUUGGGGCUAAUACCCUCGAGGAAGGACAUCACCCACAGAAGAAACACCGGCUAACUCCGUGCCAGCAGCCGCGGUAAUACGGAGGGUGCGAGCGUUAAUCGGAAUUACUGGGCGUAAAGCGCGCGUAGGCGGUCUGAUAAGCCGGUUGUGAAAGCCCCGGGCUCAACCUGGGAACGGCAUCCGGAACUGUCAGGCUAGAGUGCAGGAGAGGAAGGUAGAAUUCCCGGUGUAGCGGUGAAAUGCGUAGAGAUCGGGAGGAAUACCAGUGGCGAAGGCGGCCUUCUGGACUGACACUGACGCUGAGGUGCGAAAGCGUGGGUAGCAAACAGGAUUAGAUACCCCAGUAGUC